CUCACAUUGAGGGAUCUAUAAAUGCUAUAACAAAAUGACAUGUAAACCUAGUUGAUAAUAUGUGACCACCAGGUAGGACCUGCUCUAGACUUUAACAGAAAUCUUCAAUGUCAUCAGUAGAUGUUGGACAACCUGCAGGCAUAUCUGUACUUUGUUUUGUGUGACACACCAGGACAACUAAUACAAAUAACUCAGGAACAAAGGGACCCUGAAAAAGGGCCACUUAACAUCUCUUAAUAUCUAGCUCAGUUUAAAAAAAAAUAUGAAGAAAUUACACAAAUUAUUAUUUCACGUAGAAAAUUAAACAGAUUUACUUUUAUGAAAUGAAGGCAACCCAAACAUUGCUAAAGUUAGCCAAACUAAAUUAUUUAAAAAAAACCUCCUGUC